UACAGAGGUCUCAAGCGUUGUUCGGAUUCAUUGGGCGUAAAGGGUGCGUAGGCGGUGAGGUAAGUCGGAUGUGAAAUCCCGGGGCUCAACCCCGGAACUGCAUUCGAUACUGCCUUGCUUGAGCACUGGAGAGGAGACUGGAAUUUACGGUGUAGCAGUGAAAUGCGUAGAUAUCGUAAGGAAGACCAGUGGCGAAGGCGAGUCUCUGGACAGUUGCUGACGCUGAGGCACGAAGGCCAGGGGAGCAAACGGG
rnacentral:rRNA from 1 species